GCUUAACCGGAGAAGUGCAUCGGAAACUGGAUAACUUGAGUGCAGAAGAGGGUAGUGGAACUCCAUGUGUAGCGGUGGAAUGCGUAGAUAUAUGGAAGAACACCAGUGGCGAAGGCGGCUACCUGGUCUGCAACUGGCGCUGAGACUCGAAAGCAUGGGUAGCGAACAGGAUUAGAUACCCUGGUAGUCCAUGCCGUAGACGACGAGUGCUAGGUGUUGGAGGGUUUCCGCCCUUCAGUGCCGGAGCUAACGCAUUAAGCACUCCGCCUGGGGAGUACGACCGCAAGGUUGAAACUCAAAGGAAUUGACGGGGGCCCGCACAAGCGGUGGAGCAUGUGGUUUAAUUCGAAGCUACGCGAAGAACCUUACCAGGUCUUGACAUCUUGCGGGGGGCCUAGAGAUAGGGCGUUUCCUUCGGGAACGCAAUGACAGGUGGUGCAUGGUCGUCGUCAGCUCGUGUCGUGAGAUGUUGGGUUAAGUCCCGCAACGAGCGCAACCCUUGUUACUAGUUGCCAGCAUUAAGUUGGGCACUCUAGUGAGACUGCCGGUGACAAACCGGAGGAAGGUGGGGACGACGUCAGAUCAUCAUGCCCCUUAUGACCUGGGCUACACACGUGCUACAAUGGACGGUACAACG
rnacentral:rRNA from 1 species